rnacentral:rRNA from 1 species
GGAAUCUUGCGCAAUGGGGGAAACCCUGACGCAGCGACGCCGCGUGAGCGAUGAAGGCCUUCGGGUUGUAAAGCUCUGUGGGGAGAGAAGAAUAAGCAUGGACUAAUACUCCAUGUGAUGACGGUAUCUCCUUAGCAAGCACCGGCUAACUCUGUGCCAGCAGCCGCGGUAAGACAGAGGGUGCAAACGGUGUUCGGAAUUACUGGGCGUAAAGCGCGUGUAGGCGGCCAGGCAAGUCGGAUGUGAAAUCCCAGGGCUCAACCCUGGAAGUGCACUCGAAACUGCUUGGCUAGAGUUCUGGAGAGGAAGGUGGAAUGCUUGGUGUAGAGGUGAAAUUCGUAGAUAUCAAGCGGAACACCGGUGGCGAAGGCGGCCUUGUGGACAGUGACUGACGCUGAGACGCGAAAGCGUGGGGAGCA